rnacentral:rRNA from 1 species
UACGAAGGGUGCAAGCGUUAAUCGGAAUUACUGGGCGUAAAGGGUUCGUAGGUGGCCACUUAAGUCAGACGUGAAAUCCCUCAGCUUAACUGGGGAACUGCGUCUGAUACUGAGUGGCUUGAGUGCAGGAGAGGAAUGCGGAAUUCCAGGUGUAGCGGUGAAAUGCGUAGAUAUCUGGAGGAACACCGGUGGCGAAGGCGGCAUUCUGGACUGUAACUGACACUGAGGAACGAAAGCCAGGGGAGCAAACGGG